rnacentral:rRNA from 1 species
UAGAAGAUGACGAGUGGCGGACGGGUGAGUAAUGCUUGGGAACUUGCCUUUGCGAGGGGGAUAACAGUUGGAAACGACUGCUAAUACCGCAUAAUGUCUUCGGACCAAACGGGGCUUCGGCUCCGGCGCAAAGAGAGGCCCAAGUGAGAUUAGCUAGUUGGUAAGGUAACGGCUUACCAAGGCGACGAUCUCUAGCUGUUCUGAGAGGAAGAUCAGCCACACUGGGACUGAGACACGGCCCAGACUCCUACGGGAGGCAGCAGUGGGGAAUAUUGCACAAUGGGGGAAACCCUGAUGCAGCCAUGCCGCGUGUGUGAAGAAGGCCUUCGGGUUGUAAAGCACUUUCAGUUGUGAGGAAAAGUUAGUAGUUAAUACCUGCUAGCCGUGACGUUAACAACAGAAGAAGCACCGGCUAACUCCGUGCCAGCAGCCGCGGUAAUACGGAGGGUGCGAGCGUUAAUCGGAAUUACUGGGCGUAAAGCGCACGCAGGCGGUUUGUUAAGCUAGAUGUGAAAGCCCCGGGCUCAACCUGGGAUGGUCAUUUAGAACUGGCAGACUAGAGUCUUGGAGAGGGGAGUGGAAUUCCAGGUGUAGCGGUG